rnacentral:rRNA from 1 species
AAAGAAACCAACAGGGAUUGCCUCAGUAACUGCGAGUGAAGCGGCAAAAGCUCAAAUUUGAAAUCUGGUACCUUUGGGUGCUCGAGUUGUAAUUUGGAGAGGCAACUUCGAAGGAGGCGCUGGCNUAAGUUCCUUGGAACAGGACGUCACAGAGGGUGAGAAUCCCGUGCUUGGCUGGCUGUCCUCCUUCAUGUGAAGUGUCUUCGACGAGUCGAGUUGUUUGGGAAUGCAGCUCAAAAUGGGUGGUAAACUCCAUCUAAGGCUAAAUAUUGGCGAGAGACCGAUAGCGCACAAGUAGAGUGAUCGAAAGAUGAAAAGCACUUUGAAAAGAGAGUUAAACAGUACGUGAAAUUGUUGAAAGGGAAGCGCUUGAGACCAGACUCGGUGAUAGGUGAUCAGCGGUUGCUUUUGCUCCGUGCACUUGCCUUUUAUCGGGCCAGCAUCAGUUGUGACGGUGGGAUAAAGGCUCAGGGAAUGUGGCUCUCUUUGGGGAGUGUUAUAGCCCUGGGUGCAAUGCCACCUGUUGCGACUGAGGACCGCGCUUCGGCUAGGAUGCUGGCAUAAUGGUCUUCAGCGACCCGUCUUGAAACACGGACCAAGGAGUCUAACAUCUAUGCGAGUGUUCGGGUGUAAAACCCCUACGCGUAAUGAAAGUGAACGGAGGUGGGAACUCUUCGGAGUGCACCAUCGACCGAUCCUGAUGUCUUCGGAUGGAUUUGAGUAGGAGCAUAGCUGUUGGGACCCGAAAGAUGGUGAACUAUGCCUGAAUAGGGUGAAGCCAGAGGAAACUCUGGUGGAGGCUCGCAGCGGUUCUGACGUGCAAAUCGAUCGUCAAAUUUGGGUAUAGG